CCUACGGGAGGCAGCAGUGAGGAAUAUUGGUCAAUGGGAGAGAUCCUGAACCAGCCAAGCCGCGUGAGGGAAGACAGCCCUAUGGGUUGUAAACCUCUUUUGUCGGAGAACAAAACCCGGGACGUGUCCCGGACUGCGUGUAUCCGAAGAAAAAGCAUCGGCUAACUCCGUGCCAGCAGCCGCGGUAAUACGGGGGAUGCGAGCGUUAUACGGAUUUAUUGGGUGUAAAGGGUGCGUAGGCGGUCCGUUAAGUCAGCGGUAAAAGUGCGGGGCUCAACCCCGUCGAGCCGUUGAAAAUGGCAGACUUGAGGUGGCGAGAGGUACGCGGAAUGCGCGGUGUAGCGGUGAAAUGCAUAGAUAUCGGGCAGAACUCCGAUUGCGAAGGCAGCGUACCGGCGCCAGACUGACGCUGAGGCACGAAAGCGUGGGGAUCGAACAGGAUGAGAUACCCCGGUAGUC
rnacentral:rRNA from 1 species